AUUGAACGCUGGCGGAAUGCUUUACACAUGCAAGUCGAACGGUAGAGGGGGCAACCCCCUUGAGAGUGGCGAACGGGUGAGUAAUAUAUCGGAACGUGCCCAGUCGUGGGGGAUAACGUAGUGAAAAUUACGCUAAUACCGCAUACGCCCUGAGGGGGAAAGCGGGGGGACCGUAAGGCCUCGCGCGAUUAGAGCGGCCGAUAUCUGAUUAGCUAGUUGGUAGGGUAAAGGCCUACCAAGGCGACGAUCCGUAGCGGGUCUGAGAGGAUGAUCCGCCACACUGGGACUGAGACACGGCCCAGACUCCUACGGGAGGCAGCAGUGGGGAAUUUUGGACAAUGGACGCAAGUCUGAUCCAGCAAUGCCGCGUGCAGGACGAAGGCCUCGGGUUGUAACUCUUUUAUAAGGGUACGAAAAAGGUACUUCUAGAUCGUCUGACGGUACCUUAUGAAUAAGCACCGGCUAACUACCGUG
rnacentral:rRNA from 1 species